AUGCACGCUGGCGGCGUGCCUCAUACAUGCAAGUCGAGCGCACAGACGAGGAGCUUGCUCCUCUGACGUUAGCGGCGGACGGGUGAGUAACACGUGGAUAACCUACCUAUAAGACUGGGAUAACUUCGGGAAACCGGAGCUAAUACCGGAUAAUAUAUUGAACCGCAUGGUUCAAUAGUGAAAGACGGUUUUGCUGUCACUUAUAGAUGGAUCCGCGCCGCAUUAGCUAGUUGGUAAGGUAACGGCUUACCAAGGCGACGAUGCGUAGCCGACCUGAGAGGGUGAUCGGCCACACUGGAACUGAGACACGGUCCAGACUCCUACGGGAGGCAGCAGUAGGGAAUAUUCCGCAAUGGGCGAAAGCCUGACGGAGCAACGCCGCGUGAGUGAUGAAGGUCUUCGGAUCGUAAAACUCUGUUAUUAGGGAAGAACAAAUGUGUAAGUAACUAUGCACGUCUUGACGGUACCUAAUCAGAAAGCCACGGCUAACUACGUG
rnacentral:rRNA from 1 species